rnacentral:rRNA from 1 species
UACGUAGGGUGCAAGCGUUAAUCGGAAUUACUGGGCGUAAAGGGCGCGUAGGCGGGUCGUUAAGUUAGAGGUGAAAGCCCAGGGCUCAACCCUGGAAUUGCCUUUAAUACUGUCGACCUUGAGUACGGGAGAGGUGAGUGGAACUCCGAGUGUAGAGGUGAAAUUCGUAGAUAUUCGCAAGAACACCAGUGGCGAAGGCGGCUAACUGGUCCGGUACUGACGCUGAGGUGCGAAAGCGUGGGGAGCAAACAGG